GGUUGAUCCUAGCCAGUAGUCAUAUGCUUGUCUUAAAGAUUAAGCCAUGCAUGUCUAAGUAUAAGCUUUUAUAUGGUGAAACUGCCAAUGGCUCAGUAAAACAGUUAUGGUUUAUUUGAUGUUUGUUUCUACAUGGAUAACCGUGCUAAUUGUAGGGCUAAUACAUGCUCGGGCUGUUUACAGUUGCGUUUAUUAGACCUAAAACCUCCCCGCUUUUGCGGUGUUUCGGUGAUUCAUAAUAAAUUAGCGAAUCGCAUGGCUUUGCCGGCGAUGUAUCAUUCAAGUUUCUGACCCAUCAGCUUUGGACGGUAGGGUAUUGGCCUACCGGGGCAACGACGGGUAACGGGGAAUUAGGGUUCGAUUCCGGAGAGGGAGCCUGAGAAACGGCUACCACAUCUAAGGAAGGCAGCAGGC
rnacentral:rRNA from 1 species